AUGCAGCCCUGCGCAGGUUGUGAGGGGUCCUCUCCCUCUCCCAGAGGCUCCUCGGGGCACCGAGAACAACCCCCUCUUUCAUCCCUGCUAUCAGCUUGUGACACAGGACGGUUUGGGUCCCACUUGUAUCUAAAGAACCGGGGGAAAGGUCACGCUGUCCAGACAUUAAUCCUGCGCGUGGCAUUUCUUCCUGGGCCUAUAUCCUGGCAACAGGAGGGUGGGUGGGGCCCAGCUCUUCCCUGCCUCAGAACCUUCUGGGGCUGGAGGUGCGGCGAGGGCGGGGAAGGUGGCCUGGAGAAGGCGGUGGCCUGGAGAAGGCGGUGCCCUUGGGAUGGGCCUGGAGUAGGCAGCCGUGUGGGACUCCACAGGAGGAGAAACCAUGGCUCCCAGCUGUGCCCGGGGGGGGGGGGCAAGCAGUGGCAGGGAAUGCCGGGGAGCCUUGCUGGAAGCUGUGUGUGGCCAAGCACAGGCACCUGCUCUGCCUCUCCCCAGCCUGACGCCAUCUUCCCUGGUCACGGAUUCCUGCCUCUCCCAGGAGGGCGCAAGGGCAGUCUGUGCCAUUCAGCCGUGUCCGCCCUGAGCCGGGAGACUCUGGCCACCCCCACCCCACCUAGCCCUGCCUGGAGCUCCUGCACUGGUUCCUGGCCAGCACUGGAUCAGCUGGGGCCUGCCCGUGCCACUCCAUACUCCUCAGUCUCCUUUAGGACAGGCAGGCAGGCGGGCAGGCGGACAGGCGCUCGAGAGAAGGGACCUUGGCCAGGCGGUUUUGCCUCCUGCCCUCACCCCACAGAUGCUUGGUUUGAGCCCCUUGCAAAGGGCUCACUACCAGUGCUCAGGGCAUUGAAUGAUGAGCCUCCUGAGGCCCCGGGAAGCCGGAUCAGAUACCAGGGCCUAGUGGGUCUGGACCGGGGAGGAGGGCGGAAGUCACGCCGGCACGGAACAGAGAAUCCUGGAACCGCAGGGCUCAGGACAGCUGGGAGUGGGCGGACAGGGUGCUCUGGUGCCUGGAGAGCAGAGUCCGUCCACGUGGAAGUGUUCGGGGCCGCGCUGCAGUCUCGGGAAUGGAACGGGACCCCGAGUUUCUGGCUGUGCAAGGCUCCGUGUGGUCUGGGCUUGUCAUGCUGUUAA
rnacentral:lncRNA from 13 species